rnacentral:rRNA from 1 species
UACAUGGGGUGCAAACGUUGCUCGGAAUUAUUGGGCGUAAAGCGCGCGUAGGCGGUCGCUUAAGUCGGAUGUGAAAGCCCUUGGCUUAACCGAGGAAGUGCAUCCGAAACUGAGCAGCUAGAGUACGAAAGAGGGUCGCGGAAUUCCCGGUGUAGAGGUGAAAUUCGUAGAUAUCGGGAGGAACACCGGUGGCGAAGGCGGCUCGCUGGACCGGUUCUGACGCUGAUGCGCGAAAGCGUGGGGAGCAAACGGG